rnacentral:lncRNA from 1 species
CACAUUAGCUAUCCACUCUGGAUAGAUUAUCUCCUUAAUGAAAUCCAUCUAAAGCAACUUGUCCACCUCUUUGGCCAUUGCCUUCUGUCGUUCCGGGAUAAAACUCCUCUUCUUUUACUUGAAGAGCGGUGAUUUGGGCUCAUGUUCAAUCGGUGCAUGAUCACUGAAGGAUCAAUUUCGGGUAUGUCUGUUGGUGUCCAAGCAAAGAUAUCCGAGUUCGUCUACAAAAAGGAGGUUAGCUGAUUUUUCAUUACCUCAUCCAGAUUUGAUCUGACCUGGACUGUAUGCUCCAGAUUUCCAUCCAUUAGUGGAAUUGAGAUUAGGUCCUCGAUGGGC